GCUCCCAGGUGGACCAGCGUCCAACGAGAGCGAGAGCUGGAGUCAGGGGGUCCGGAGGUUCAGGGCGGCCUGCGUCCGAGGGACGAGACUAGGGUCUGAGGUCCCGGGGUCCGAGUGGCCUGCGUCCGAGGAGCGAGGCUGGGGUCUGGGGUCCGGGGUCCGGGUGGCCUGCGUCCGAGGGGCGAGGCUGGGGUCUGGGGUCCGGGGUUCAGGCGGCCUGCGUCCGAGGGGCGAGGCGCGAGGCCGGGGUCCGGCUCCGGGUGCCUGCGUCUGAGGGCGAGGC
rnacentral:lncRNA from 1 species